AAAGGGGUUGUCCCACAAAAAAUAUACAACAUUUUUCAAGACAGCACCUGGAUCGGAAUACUUUUGUUAUUGCAUGUAAUAAAAAAUUUAGUAUAGCCACUGAGUUAUUCGAUAAAAUACAUCUGUAUAACGCCACAGCCUUGUUCUU